GUCUAUGCUUCCAUUCUACUCUCUCACUGACCCACGACUUCACGACUUGGUGGUGCCCUAGGUGUAGCGCAGGAAGGAAUCACGGUGGCGGUUGUUGAUUGGUGCCAUAUUGGAGAUCUGGACAGUGGUGGCUGUUAAGUGGGGCUACUAUAACUUGUUACAUAAUCUAUCAUAAUGGAUAGAAGUUGAAUUACGGACUCAAGGGAAGCGCUAACUUGUGCUCAACUAUUUUGCGCAACACAUAAGAGCAAGAAGGAUGGCAAAGCUAGUGAUGAACAUGCUGCCAAAGUGAUUAAGAGCUUGCUGCAACUCAGCCUUCUAACCCAGAUGAACCUUCACCCCGGGAUUUUUAUACCCAAGUUAGGGGAGAAGAAAGAAGGGGCCAUGUUCAGAUGUAUGGCUUGGGACCUACAUCUACUAGUCUUUGGGGGCCAUCUCCUAGUAAAGCGGACCUGGUAAGGAGGACCUCACAAGCAGAGGAAGAGACAUGUGUUGCUCAUGCAGAAAUGAAGGAGACAGUGAAAAAGAUGCGUGUUGAGUAUGAUGAAAAAUAUGAAGCUUUGAAUGCAAAAAUGGCUAUGAUUUUGCGUCAUAUUGAACAUCAAAAUUCUAAUGUAUAGGUAAAUAUUUUUGUUAUUGUACCUUGGUAAAAAUUUAAUUAUAUAAAUAUUAUAAGUUCUAAUAUAUUUAUAAUUAUAUUCUAUUAUGAAGGUGCAUAAUAAAAUUAUAUUUUAUAGUGAAGGUACCCGGCUCCUCAACUACACUUGGUGAUCCUUAAAUUUUAUUUUUGGUCAUGAAAUUCCGUCCUUGGGCAAAUUGAAGCAAGACGAGAGAUGAAGUUGAACCAUUAAUUCUCAAGACCCUCGCAUAGUCUCACUCAAAUUCUCAAUGAAAUGUUGAUGUUUUAUUUUGAAUGAUUUCCUUUUGAAGUUUUGUUAGAUUUUGGUGUUUCCUUUUGAACCUUUUAUUAGCACUUGACAUUUUGAAACAAAACUUAUAUGUUAUGGGAUGUUAUUGAAUUUUAA